UGAGAUAUUACUAACCCCCGCCUACUCUCU
rnacentral:piRNA from 1 species